rnacentral:misc_RNA from 1 species
CAGAUUUGUUUAGAAGCUUUCAAAUGGACAGAUAGUGAAGCAGUCACAAAAGUUACUUCCUUCUGUGCUCAUGUUAUUCUUCUAGCUAUAACAACAAAUAAUAUUGAACUCCAAGAAUUUGUUUCAAAAGAUCUGUUCUAUGCAAUUAUCAAAGGCUUGGAGCUUGAGUCAAAUGCAGUCAUUAGUGCUGAUCUGGUCGGUCUCUGUCGAGAAAUAUUCAUGUACCUCCGUGAGAGAGACCCAGCCCCAAGACAGGUUCUACUCUCUCUCCCAUGUAUUACACCCCAAGACUUGUAUGCUUUUGAAGAAGCUUUAACAAAAACAUCCAGUCCCAAGGAACAAAAACAGCACAUGAAGAGCUUGCUUUUAUUAGCUGCUGGAAACAAGUUGAAGGCACUUGCUGCCCAGAAAAGUGUAAAUAUUAUCACGAACGUUACAGCUCGACCUCGAAGCUCAGUUACUGCUCCAGAAACCAGAACUGAUGAAGGGGAUUUGUUGGGGUUGGCUGCCGUUUUGUGAGAAACUUGUACUAUCAUUGCAGAGUUGAUGUACAGAUACAAGUGGAAAGAAAAAGAAGAGAUCCGAUUUAACAAAUACACAGGUAGUAAACUAGAAAGCAGGUUUUAUUUGCUCUUUUUUCUAUGGAGAUCGGUGCAACUGAUAUCUCUCCCCUUUCUCAAUAGAAGUUUGUAGAAUAUCCAACAUACCAUGGCAUAUUCCAUUAUUCUAUGCUUUUCUUGCCAUGGGAAGUUGUCUCACAUAAUUGUAUCUUUUUGGUAAUAUUUUCCCCCGUCCCUGGUAGCUUAAAAACCACACUUGCUCACUUGUAUUUGCAUUCUUGAGCAAAUAUCAAAUUAUUUUAUUAAGUUACCAGGGACGGG